UUGCAGUGUGAGAAUUUCCCUCACAUUUAUCCAAUACCAAGCCAAAUCACUGGAAAAAUUUUGGAUGGGUCCACAAGAGCACAAAGUGCAUACUUUUUGAAGAAAAACAUCUUUCAGAUGUAUGAGAAAUUGAUUGGAGCCUGUCUGGAAAAUGGCAGCCACUGGACCUUGUUUGUAAGUUGCACAGAUUUUGCACUCUCUCUAGUGCAUGAUACUUUUCAGUGUCCCUCAUUAGGAAAGCUCAAGGCCCAAGCCUACCAUAUCCAUCUUUUUACAAAACAGUU